GAUUAAACAUAGCCCCCAUUGAUCACAACAACCGCAUAGCAACCGGGAACGAGUUGUUGAUUUUGUACUGUAACUCAAUAUGCCAAACAACUUCAUCAAUGAUUUAUCGAAAGAAGCGCAGAAAAAAUCUGAAGAACUUCGUUGGAUCAAGGUAGUUGGUAUAGGUAGUCCUGGAGUUGGGAAAACAUGCCUUGUGAAGACAUUUUGUGAAAGCAAGUUUACAAAAUCAUAUAUCGAAACAGUUGGAGUAGAUUACGGAUUCAAACUUCAUACUGUCAAUGGCAAAGAAGUUAGAGUUACAUUUUGGGAUUUUGGUGGCAGCUCUUCCUACCUUGAUGUAAGAAAGGAAUUGUACCACCAGACAAAGAUUUGUCUUCUUGUAUAUGACGUCACAAAUCCCCAGUCCUUCUAUGCACUUGAUGACUGGUUUAAAGAAUUUGAAACAUUUGGUGGAAAAAAGACCAUUUUGUGUGUUGUUGGUAAUAAGGCAGAUCUUAAGAACCGAAAGGUAAAUACCUCAACAGCUGAGGAGUGGGCUAAUCGUCACGAAAUCAGGCACUACGUUACCUCAGCUGCUACUGGUGAAGGGGUUGCCCAUAUGUUUAAUCAAGUCCUUGAUGAUGCAGUGAGCUAGACGAGGUAUAGUUGCGCUUCUGCUUAUCAAAAAAGCUCUAGUAUUUUCUGUAUCAAGAUGCAGCCUAUCGUCAACGGAAAAUUGGUCACUGAUUGAAUUUUUCAGAUUGCUUUAAAGGCGAAGAUUUUUUGCCACAGGUAUCUCAACAACUUUUGCUGACCAUGAGAAAAACGUUGCAAAUGGCCUGUUUCGAAUUAUUCCUAGGCAGCAAGAAGUUGUGUAUUUGAAAUAGGCUGGCUUAAAACGCAUUUGUUUUAACCGUUUGCAUGUGUUUUGCCCGUUUGCAUCGUUUAGCACUUUAAUUGUUUUCAAUCUCAGCGGAAUGACAAAUUACUCAGAAAAAGAUCGCUAUAUAAUCUGAUAGGCUGAUAAAAUCCUCUCUUCUAUUUGUGGCGUUAAAAAACCUUUUAGUAAACCUUUUAAAAAAACCUGUUAAAAAAACCUGUUAAAAAACCUGUUAAAAAACCUGUUAAAAAAACCUUUUAGUAAAAUGAUUUAGUAGAGCUUUUCAUCAGACUUAUUCGCGUUCACGAAGUGAAUAAAUGCAAUACAUCACAAGGCUUUUUAUUUUUCUACAUUUUGCACCAACAUAGAGCAGUUCCUGUGAUUAAUUUCCUCCUUCACAAACGACAUUUUGAGGAAAAAGCGAUUCAUACAUCCUAAGAGUUCCCCUUUAUAGUGGUAAUGCCAUUCUUCGAUAAACAAUCUUAUUGCUGUAGUUUCUCAUUGGCCUUUCUGUCUUUUAUUUGCGUUAAACUGCACAUGAAACCACGUAUUACAAUGACUAGAUAUUUUUUACAUUGGUCUAUAUACUUUAAAGCGCAUCAAAAUAGCUGCAAAUAGCUGCCGAGUCACGCGAAACCCUCCAACCAACAGCUCCUCAGUCCAUAUCGGAAAUAUGCUAAAUCCAAGCUGUGCAGAUUAUUUUUCCUUAGAUCUUUGUCUUAUCUCAACUUGUUCUUGCACAACAACACUGUGAAUUGCUGUUUAAUCAAGCUUUUUAGAGUGAGUUUGCCAGGUCACGGACCACGCAGCUAAAUUUAGUGUCAUUCUUGUCUUGGUUGACACACGUUUACUACUGUGUUUGUGAACGUCAUUCAAACAUUCUAAAAGAACGCAAGCAACCAAUCUUUCUGCAGCAGGCAAAAGAGAAUCACCAUAAAAGGUGCAAAGAUGUCGGUUAUACAGAUGAUAACCAUCUUUCUUUGUGUUAUUGCGGUUCAGUCGGCACGAUUCACUGGAAAAAACACAUCAAAUGAUUGCAAAACACUUGUGUUUAAUCACACCAUCAGCUUGCCUGAUUGCCAGCCAAGGGUGGUCCAGAACCGGUUCUGCUACGGCCAAUGCAAGUCAUAUUUCCUUCCGAACAGAAAGAAUUAUGGCAUUUCAUCUUUUGCAUGCUCAGUCUGCCGUCCUACUGCUAUCAAGAAGAGAAAAGUGUACCUUAAGUGCCAUGCCGUAAAUGGGGUUCGUCGUUUUAAAGUCCGGAACAUUGCUUAUAUUUGGAGCUGUUCGUGUGUAAAGACAAAAUGCAUUCCAUGGUACUCUCCCUUUAAAAACGCAUAAGUUAUACAAAGUCCCAGCAAUUUAUGGCCUAAUAUUCUUCAUCGAAAAUGGCAGACGACUUUGCUUAUACUUCUAUUAUAUUUAUAUUUGCCUUUACUAAGAAAAAAUGAAGUAACUGUUUUUAUGGUAAUCAGUGGAAGUCAAACUAGCGAAGUUUUUCCAAUGAAAAUUGUUACUGAAAUUUUCGUUUAAAUUUUGGCGUAGCUGUUGGGCUGAAAUCUGAUCAACUGUGGAGAGUUUAUCCAACGGAAAAUCCUUUGAAUCCAAAAU